rnacentral:rRNA from 1 species
AUUGAACGCUGGCGGCAUGCUUUACACAUGCAAGUCGAACGGUAACAGGCCACAAGGUGCUGACGAGUGGCGAACGGGUGAGUAAUGCAUCGGAACGUGCCCAGUCGUGGGGGAUAACUACUCGAAAGAGUAGCUAAUACCGCAUACGAUCUAUGGAUGAAAGCGGGGGACCGUAAGGCCUCGCGCGAUUGGAGCGGCCGAUGUCAGAUUAGGUAGUUGGUGGGGUAAAGGCUCACCAAGCCAACGAUCUGUAGCUGGUCUGAGAGGACAACCAGCCACACGGGGACGAGGCAACGGCCCAGACUCCUACGGGGGGCAGCGGUGGGGAAUUUUGGGCAAUGGGGGAAACCCUGACCCAGAAAUGCCGGGGGAAGGAAGAAGGCCUUCGGUUUGUAAACUGCUUUUGUACGGAACGAAACGGCUUUGGUUAAAACCCGGGGCUAAUGACGGUACCGUAAGAAAAAGCACCGGCUAACUCCGU